rnacentral:rRNA from 1 species
GACGAACGCUGGCGGCGUGCUUAACACAUGCAAGUCGAACGGAAAGGCCCUGCUUUUGUGGGGUGCUCGAGUGGCGAACGGGUGAGUAACACGUGAGUAACCUGCCCUUGACUUUGGGAUAACUUCAGGAAACUGGGGCUAAUACCGGAUAGGAGCUCCUGCUGCAUGGUGGGGGUUGGAAAGUUUCGGCGGUUGGGGAUGGACUCGCGGCUUAUCAGCUUGUUGGUGGGGUAGUGGCUUACCAAGGCUUUGACGGGUAGCCGGCCUGAGAGGGUGACCGGCCCACUUGGGACCUGGAUACGGGCCCGGCUCCCAACGGGGGGCGGCGGGGGGGAUUUUGCAAGAGGGGGCGGAAGCCGGAUCCGGCACCCCCGCGUGGGGGAUGCGGGCUUGCGGGUUUAAACCCGUUUUCGCCGGGGAGGAGGGGGGAGGGAGGGGAAGGGAAAAAGAAGCCCCGGCAACCUAGGUC